UACGUAGGGAGCAAGCGUUGUCCGGAAUCAUUGGGCGUAAAGCGCGCGUAGGUGGCUUCGUAAGUCCGUUGUGAAAGUCAAAGGCUCAACCUUUGAAAGCCGAUGGAUACUGUGAAGCUAGAGUACGGAAGAGGCGAGUGGAAUUCCCGGUGUAGCGGUGAAAUGCGCAGAUAUCGGGAGGAACACCAAUGGCGAAGGCAGCUCGCUGGGACGUUACUGACGCUGAGACGCGAAAGCGUGGGGAGCAAACAGG
rnacentral:rRNA from 1 species